AUGUUCAGAUAGCCAUGCAUGUCUCAGUAUAAGCUUCUAUACGGCGAAACUGCGAAUGGCUCAUUAAAACAGUUAUAGUUUAUUUGGUGGUCAGCAAUUACAUGGAUAACCGUGGUAAUUCUAGAGCUAAUACAUGCGCCCAAACCCGACUUCGUGGAAGGGUUGUGUUUAUUAGAUACAGAACCAACCCAGGCUCCGCCUGGCCUUGAGGUGAUUCAUAAUAACCGAACGGAUCGCAUGGCUAUGCCGGCGAUAGACCAUUCAAGUUUCUGACCUAUCAGCUAUCGUCGGUAGGGUAUUGGCCUACCGUGGCAAUGACGGGUAACGGAGAAUUAGGGUUCGAUUCCGGAGAGGGAGCCUGAGAAACGGCUACCACAUCUAAGGAAGGCAGCAGGCGCGCAAAUUACCCAAUCCUGACGCAGGGAGGUAGUGACAAGAAAUAACAAUACAGGGCAUACAUGUCUUGUAAUUGGAAUGAGUAAACUUUAAAUCACUUUACG
rnacentral:rRNA from 1 species